GAUGAACGCUGGCGGCGUGCCUAAUACAUGCAAGUCGAGCGCAGCGGGGACGGUUGAGUAACACUUGGUUAACCUCCUAUACGAAUGGGAUAGCUUCGGGAAACCCGUGCAAAACCUGAUAUUUAUGGGUGGCUCCUCGCUGCAUUCGCUAGUUGGUAAGGUAACGGCUUACCAAGGCCACGAUGCAUAGCCGACCUGUGAGGGUGAUCGGCCACACUGGAACUGAGACACGGUCCAGACUCCUACGGGAGGCAGCAGUAGGGAAUCUUCCGCAAUGGGCGAAAGCCUGACGGAGCAACGCCGCGUGAGUGAUGAAGGUCUUCGGAUCGUAAAACUCUGUUAUUAGGGAAGCGGUACCUAAUCAGAAAGCCACGGCUAACUACGUGCCAGCAGCCGCGGUAAUUC
rnacentral:rRNA from 1 species